AUUGAACGCUGGCGGCAUGCCUAACACAUGCAAGUCGAGCGGAUGAAGGGAGCUUUCUCCUGGAUUCAGCGGCGGACGGGUGGGUAAUGCCUAGGAAUCUGCCUGGUAUUGGGGGAUAACGUCCGGAAACGGGCGCUAAUACCGCAUACGUCCUGAGGUAGAAAGGGGGGGAUCUUCGGACCUCGCGCUAUCAGAUGAGCCUAGGUCGGAUUAGCUAGUUGGUAGGGUAAAGGCCUACCAAGGCGACGAUCCGUAACUGGUCUGAGAGGAUGAUCAGCCACACUGGAACUGAGACACGGUCCAGACUCCUACGGGAGGCAGCAGUGGGGAAUAUUGGACAAUGGGCGAAAGCCUGAUCCAGCCAUGCCGCGUGUGUGAAGAAGGUCUUCGGAUUGUAAAGCACUUUAAGUUGGGAGGAAGGGCAGUAAGUUAAUACAUUGCUGUUUUGACGUUACCAACAGAAUAAGCACCGGCUAACUUCGUG
rnacentral:rRNA from 1 species